rnacentral:rRNA from 1 species
AGAGUUUGAUCCUGGCUCAGGAUGAACGCUGGCGGCGUGCCUAAUACAUGCAAGUCGAACGCAUUACGCAAGUAAUGAGUGGCGAACGGGUGAGUAAGACAUAAGCAACCUAGCCUCAAGAGGGGGAUAACUAUUGGAAACGAUAGCUAAGACCGCAUAGGUGUAACUCUCGCAUGAGAGAGACAUUAAAUAUCCUUUCGGGGAUAGCUAGAGGAUGGGCUUAUGACGCAUUAGCUAGUUGGUGAGGUAGAGGCUCACCAAGGCGACGAUGCGUAGCCGGCCUGAGAGGGUGGACGGCCACACUGGGACUGAGACACGGCCCAGACUCCUACGGGAGGCAGCAGUGGGGAAUCUUCCGCAAUGGACGAAAGUCUGACGGAGCAACGCCGCGUGAGUGAAGAAGGAAUUCGUUCUGUAAACUUCUGUUAUAAAGGAAGAAAGAGGCAGUCAGGAAAUGGACUGCAGGUGACGGUACCUAAGGAGGAAGCCACGGCUAACUACGUGCCAGCAGCCGCGGUAAUACGUAGGUGGCAAGCGUUAUCCGGAUUUAUUGGGCGUAAAGCGAGCGCAGGCGGCAGCAAGGGUCUGUGGUGAAAGACUGAAGCUUAACUUCAGUAAGCCAUAGAAACCGGGCAGCUAGAGUGCAGGAGAGGAUCGUGGAAUUCCUAGUGUAGCGGUGAAAUGCGUAGAUAUAUGGAGGAACACCAGUGGCGAAGGCGACUUUCUGGCCUGUAACUGACGCUCAGUCCCGAAAGCGUGGGGAGCAAAUAGGAUUAGAUACCCUAGUAGUCCACGCCGUAAACGAUGAGUACUAAGUGUUGGAAGUCAAAUUUCAGUGCUGCAGUUAACGCAGUAAGUACUCCGCCUGAGUAGUACGUUCGCAAGAAUGAAACUCAAAGGAAUUGACGGGGGCCCGCACAAGCGGCGGAGCAUGCGGAUUAAUUCGAAGCAACGCGAAGAACCUUACCUGGGCUUGACAUAUGGGUGAAGCGGGGGAGACCCCGUGGCCGAGAGGAGCCCAUACAGGUGGUGCAUGGCUGUCGUCAGCUCGUGCCGUGAGAUGUUGGGUUAAGUCCCGCAACGAGCGCAACCCCCGCCGCAUGUUGCCAGCAGGUCAGGCUGGGCACCCAUGCGGGACCGCCGGCGUCAAGCCGGAGGAGGGCGGGGACGACGUCAAGUCAUCAUGCCCCUUAUGCCCUGGGCUGCACACGUGCUACAAUGGCCGGUACAGCGGGAUGCGAUGGCGCGAGCCGGAGCGGAUCCCUCAAAGCCGGCCCCAGUUCGGAUUGGGGGCUGCAACCCGCCCCCAUGAAGUCGGAGUUGCUAGUAAUCGAGGAUCAGCAUGCCGCGGUGAAUGCGUUCCCGGGCCUU